GAGCAGGAUUUUGAGCCUGGUCAAACACAGGAUGCCCCAACACUGAACAGAUGAAAAAGAUCAGAGGCAGAAGUCAUCAUGAAGAUACUGCGAGUGCAGAGUGGAUUCUAGAACCAACCCAGCCACUGAAAUAAUCAGGAGGAAACAAGAGCCAUUCCUGGGGAGGAGAGGUCAGGAGUGGCAGUGAGACUUAUGCGGAACUCACAUUGGAAGAAGACGGCACCUCUGAGUUAAUUUAAGGGACCUCUGCCUUAGCACAAAUGAAGCUAGGAGUACAAUUCAUGAACAGCUUUCUAUAUUUCAGAGUCAGUACUUUGAGGAAUAAUUGCUGGAGACUGGCCUACCAUUUUUAAAUCAGCCAGAACACAAGUGGUUGUCCAUCCAAUGCAGUCAGUGAAUGGCCAGAAAGAAAAGGACACCACAGAACCACACCAGUGGAAAGAAGAGGGCAGAGACAGGGUCUCUUCAGUGGCCCCAACUCUUAGGGGAAAAUGGAUUUGGACUCAGUACCAGAACCAGGCUAUUCUUAGGGUACAUAGGAAUAUUGGUUUCUUAAGCACAUAUUAUAGUCAAAGUCUCCUGCCUAGCCAGCUAUGUAUACAUCU